rnacentral:lncRNA from 1 species
AGAACAUGAAAAAUUGUCUUGUGUUACAGCAACUAUAAAUUUUUUGGAUUAAUAUAGUGCAGUGAUUUUUCUUUCUCACGGUGCUUUGUUUUGAUCAAAGAGAGAAAAAAUCAAAUUGAAAUUUGGAUUGGAGAUGUUUUUCUAGGUUGUCCUUUUUGUUUUAUCAGGUUGUCCUUCAUGUUUUACAAUUAAAUGGGUAUAAAUUAGCAAAUGGUUGCACAAUAUUUAUUAAAAUUUACCGAAC